rnacentral:tRNA from 1 species
GUAUGGAAUGCUACAUUUACAUUGGUAAUGGUCGGGAUAGCUCAGCUGGUAGAGCAGAGGACUGAAAAUC